GAUUGACGCUGGCGGUAUGUCUAAUACAUGCAAGUCGAGCGCCCCUCACUCUGUUUUCGAAUCAUCGAAGAUAAAGUGAGGGGAGCGGCGAACGGGUGAGUAACACGUUGGAACCUACCUUGAACUCAGGGAUAACCCACAGAAAUGUGGAUUAAUACCGGAUAGUCCCGAAAGGGUAAAGAUUUUUCGGUUCAAGAGGGUCCUGCGGCCUAUCAGCUUGUUGGUAAGGUAACGGCUUACCAAGGCUAUGACGGGUAGCUGGUCUGAGAGGACGACCAGUCACAAUGGGACUGAGACACGGCCCAU
rnacentral:rRNA from 1 species